CCGGCGAUGUCCGAAUGGGGAAACCCAGUGCAAUUCGUUGCACUAUCGUUAACUGAAUACAUAGGUUAACGAGGCGAACCGGGGGAACUGAAACAUCUAAGUACCCCGAGGAAAAGAAAUCAACCGAGAUUCCCCCAGUAGCGGCGAGCGAACGGGGAGCAGCCCAGAGUCUGAAUCAGCUUGUGUGUUAGUGGAACGGUCUGGAAAGUCCGACGGUACAGGGUGAUAGUCCCGUACACCAAAAUGCACAGGUUGUGAACUCGAAGAGUAGGGCGGGACACGUGGUAUCCUGUCUGAAUAUGGGGGGACCAUCCUCCAAGGCUAAAUACUCCUGACUGACCGAUAGUGAACCAGUACCGUGAGGGAAAGGCGAAAAGAACCCCGGCGAGGGGAGUGAAAAAGAACCUGAAACCGUGUACGUACAAGCAGUGGGAGCACCUUCGGGUGUGACUGCGUACCUUUUGUAUAAUGGGUCAGCGACUUAUAUUCUGUAGCAAGGUUAACCGUAUAGGGGAGCCGCAGGGAAACCGAGUCUUAACUGGGCGUUAAGUUGCAGGGUAUAGACCCGAAACCCGGUGAUCUAGCCAUGGGCAGGUUGAAGGUUGGGUAACACUAACUGGAGGACCGAACCGACUAAUGUUGAAAAAUUAGCGGAUGACUUGUGGCUGGGGGUGAAAGGCCAAUCAAACCGGGAGAUAGCUGGUUCUCCCCGAAAGCUAUUUAGGUAGCGCCUCGUGAAUUCAUCUUCGGGGGUAGAGCACUGUUUCGGCUAGGGGGUCAUCCCGACUUACCAACCCGAUGCAAACUACGAAUACCGAAGAAUGUUAUCACGGGAGACACACGGCGGGUGCUAACGUCCGUCGUGAAGAGGGAAACAACCCAGACCGCCAGCUAAGGUCCCAAAGUCAUGGUUAAGUGGGAAACGAUGUGGGAAGGCACAGACAGCCAGGAUGUUGGCUUAGAAGCAGCCAUCAUUUAAAGAAAGCGUAAUAGCUCACUGGUCGAGUCGGCCUGCGCGGAAGAUGUAACGGGGCUAAACCAUGCACCGAAGCUGCGGCAGCGACACUAUGUGUUGUUGGGUAGGGGAGCGUUCUGUAAGCCUGCGAAGGUGGCCUGUGAGGGUUGCUGGAGGUAUCAGAAGUGCGAAUGCUGACAUAAGUAACGAUAAAGCGGGUGAAAAGCCCGCUCGCCGGAAGACCAAGGGUUCCUGUCCAACGUUAAUCGGGGCAGGGUGAGUCGACCCCUAAGGCGAGGCCGAAAGGCGUAGUCGAUGGGAAACAGGUUAAUAUUCCUGUACUUGGUGUUACUGCGAAGGGGGGACGGAGAAGGCUAUGUUAGCCGGGCGACGGUUGUCCCGGUUUAAGCAUGUAGGCUGAUUAUCCAGGCAAAUCCGGAUAAUCAAGGCUGAGGUGUGAUGACGAGGCACUACGGUGCUGAAGUAACAAAUGCCCUGCUUCCAGGAAAAGCCUCUAAGCAUCAGGUAACAUCAAAUCGUACCCCAAACCGACACAGGUGGUCAGGUAGAGAAUACCAAGGCGCUUGAGAGAACUCGGGUGAAGGAACUAGGCAAAAUGGUGCCGUAACUUCGGGAGAAGGCACGCUGGUGUGUAGGUGAAGUCCCUGCGGAUGGAGCUGAGACCAGUCGAAGAUACCAGCUGGCUGCAACUGUUUAUUAAAAACACAGCACUGUGCAAACACGAAAGUGGACGUAUACGGUGUGACGCCUGCCCGGUGCCGGAAGGUUAAUUGAUGGGGUUAUCCGUAAGGAGAAGCUCUUGAUCGAAGCCCCGGUAAACGGCGGCCGUAACUAUAACGGUCCUAAGGUAGCGAAAUUCCUUGUCGGGUAAGUUCCGACCUGCACGAAUGGCGUAAUGAUGGCCAGGCUGUCUCCACCCGAGACUCAGUGAAAUUGAACUCGCUGUGAAGAUGCAGUGUACCCGCGGCAAGACGGAAAGACCCCGUGAACCUUUACUAUAGCUUGACACUGAACAUUGAGCCUUGAUGUGUAGGAUAGGUGGGAGGCUUUGAAGCGUGGACGCCAGUCUGCGUGGAGCCAACCUUGAAAUACCACCCUUUAAUGUUUGAUGUUCUAACGUUGGCCCCUUACCGGGGUUGCGGACAGUGUCUGGUGGGUAGUUUGACUGGGGCGGUCUCCUCCCAAAGCGUAACGGAGGAGCACGAAGGUUAGCUAAUCCUGGUCGGACAUCAGGAGGUUAGUGCAAUGGCAUAAGCUAGCUUGACUGCGAGCGUGACGGCGCGAGCAGGUGCGAAAGCAGGUCAUAGUGAUCCGGUGGUUCUGAAUGGAAGGGCCAUCGCUCAACGGAUAAAAGGUACUCCGGGGAUAACAGGCUGAUACCGCCCAAGAGUUCAUAUCGACGGCGGUGUUUGGCACCUCGAUGUCGGCUCAUCACAUCCUGGGGCUGAAGUAGGUCCCAAGGGUAUGGCUGUUCGCCAUUUAAAGUGGUACGCGAGCUGGGUUUAGAACGUCGUGAGACAGUUCGGUCCCUAUCUGCCGUGGGCGCUGGAGAAUUGAGGGGGGCUGCUCCUAGUACGAGAGGACCGGAGUGGACGCAUCACUGGUGUUCGGGUUGUCAUGCCAAUGGCACUGCCCGGUAGCUAAAUGCGGAAGAGAUAAGUGCUGAAAGCAUCUAAGCACGAAACUUGCCCCGAGAUGAGUUCUCCCUGAGACUUUAAGUCUCCUGAAGGAACGUU
rnacentral:rRNA from 1 species